UGUAAGCGUAUACCACAGUUGUUGCAGUUAAAACGCUCGUAGUCGGAAAUUGGCCGUUCCGGAUGUGUGCACGUCGUGUGCGCACUUUGCAAGGACGGCUUUUGUGGUCUUGCGUAGGAUGAGGCACUUUUAUUAGUGAACGUCCUCACGCAACCACUCUUUACUGUGAGAAAAUCAGAGUGCUCAAAGCAGGCAUUUGCCGUGAAUGUACUAGCAUGGAAUAAUAGAAUAAAUUCUUAGAUUGCCGAAAGACAAACUGCCGCGAAAGAGUCUGCCAAAGAUGUUUUCAUUGA
rnacentral:rRNA from 1 species